AGUGAAGAAAAAAAGAGAGAACACGAAAGAGAUAUUAGAACUAGGAAAUUAUAGUUGGAAGGUUUGUGAUAGUGGAAAGUAAAGGCUAAGGGUCAAUAAUUAAGGUGAUGAGAUGUCGGGAAGACCCAUAACCUCGUGUAGUGGAAUCUGUGCAAGAAAUUGAUGGGGAUCCGUUAAUUUGGUUUUCUUUUCUUUUCUUCCUUUGAUGGCCGGUCGUUACAUAAUCAAAUAAUAAAAGCCCAUGGAUGUUUUUUAUU